GAUGAACGCUGGCGGCGUGCUUAACACAUGCAAGUCGAACGAUGAAGCCCAGCUUGCUGGGUGGAUUAGUGGCGAACGGGUGAGUAACACGUGAGUAACCUGCCCUUAACUCUGGGAUAAGCCUGGGAAACUGGGUCUAAUACCGGAUAGGAGCGCCUACCGCAUGGUGGGUGUUGGAAAGAUUUAUCGGUUUUGGAUGGACUCGCGGCCUAUCAGCUUGUUGGUGAGGUAAUGGCUCACCAAGGCGACGACGGGUAGCCGGCCUGAGAGGGUGACCGGCCACACUGGGACUGAGACACGGCCCAGACUCCUACGGGGGGCAGCAGUGGGGAAUAUUGCACAAUGGGCGAAAGCCUGAUGCAGCGACGCCGCGUGAGGGAUGACGGCCUUCGGGUUGUAAACCUCUUUCAGUAGGGAAGAAGCGAAAGUGACGGUACCUGCAGAAGAAGCACCGGCUAACUACGUG
rnacentral:rRNA from 1 species